rnacentral:rRNA from 1 species
ACCACCGCGUCGGUCCCCCUUUGGCUCGUUCCGAGGGGGGGCUUGCGUUUUCACACAAACUCAAAAGCAGUGUAGAAUGUCUUUUUUUGCGAUGACACGCAAUCAAUACAACUUUCAACAACGGAUCUCUUGGCUCUCGCAUCGAUGAAGAACGCAGCGAAAUGCGAUACGUAAUGUGAAUUGCAGAAUUCAGUGAAUCAUCGAAUCUUUGAACGCACCUUGCGCCCCUUGGCAUUCCGAGGGGCACACCCGUUUGAGUGUCNUGAAAUUCUCANAAGCCCUUCCUUUGGUGGAGAGGAUUUUGGACUUGGAGGUCUUUUGCUGGCUUCACCUUGAAGUGAGCUCCUCCCAAAUGGAUUANUGGGUCUGCUUUGCUGAUCCUUGACGUGAUAAGAUGUUUCUACGUCUUGGGGUUUC